UACGAAGGGGGCUAGCGUUGCUCGGAAUUACUGGGCGUAAAGGGCGCGUAGGCGGACAGUUAAGUUGGGGGUGAAAGCCCGGGGCUCAACCUCGGAAUUGCCUUCAAUACUGGCUGUCUUGAGUUCGGGAGAGGUGAGUGGAAUGCCGAGUGUAGAGGUGAAAUUCGUAGAUAUUCGGCGGAACACCAGUGGCGAAGGCGACUCACUGGCCCGAUACUGACGCUGAGGCGCGAAAGCGUGGGGAGCAAACAGG
rnacentral:rRNA from 1 species